AAACAUUGCACCUAAAUCUUCAAUUUCCUAAGGAAAUAGAAGAGCUUUUUGGAUACUGGACACGCACUGACGCUACCUUUUGCAGGGAUCCUGGUCUGGCACAUCAGACUGGAUCAAGAAUUUCCUCAUGUGAAUCCCAGGAGUAUCUGCAAAAGAGUGGCGUCUCAAACCUCACAGCCCAACUCCUAGAAAAUUCACCCACCUCCCAGCCUUAAAACCCACGCCUGCCUUAGGUCCACAGCUUAUGAAAAAGUUGUCCUGGGAAAGAUGUCUCCCUCCCCUCCUCCUCCUCCAUCCUGCAGCAGGACCCAUUGUCUGCCGGCGGCAAGGCAUAAAGGAGUUAACGAA